rnacentral:pre_miRNA from 1 species
UCAAUCGGUGACCCUCAGCCCUGGGGGCACUUUCUGUAUUCAGAAUCAGAAAGUGCUGCCACAGUUGAGUGUCACUGGUGGA